GACGAACGCUGGCGGCGUGCUUAACACAUGCAAGUCGAACGGAAAGGCCCUGCUUGCAGGGUGCUCGAGUGGCGAACGGGUGAGUAACACGUGGGUGAUCUGCCCCUUACUUUGGGAUAAGCCUGGGAAACUGGGUCUAGUACUGGAUAGGACCAUGCUGUAGGUGGUGUGGUGGAAAGAUUAGUUUCGGUAAGGGAUGAGCUCGCGGCCUAUCAGCUUGUUGGUGGGGUAAUGGCCUACCAAGGCGUCGACGGGUAGCCGGCCUGAGAGGGUGGACGGCCACAUUGGGACUGAGAUACGGCCCAGACUCCUACGGGAGGCAGCAGUGGGGAAUAUUGCACAAUGGGCGCAAGCCUGAUGCAGCGACGCCGCGUGGGGGAUGACGGCCUUCGGGUUGUAAACUCCUUUCAGCCAUGACGAAGCCCUUGUGGUGACAGUAGUGGUAGAAGAAGCACCGGCUAACUACGUG
rnacentral:rRNA from 1 species